GUGAGAAAGAACCCUUGUGGUCAUGAUUGCUCUAGUACAAAAAGAAAAAAGAAGUUGAAGAAUGCAAACAAGCGGUGGAUAUGUGAGCACGUGAAGGACUGGCUAAUUGAGGAUGCAACUCUAGGAACAAAGGCAUUGCGAAAGAAGCUUAAAGAGCAUCAUGGAAUCGACACCAACUCUAAGAGAGUCUAUAUGGGUAAGCUGCUAGCCUUGAAGGAACUAUAUGGUGAUCGGGAUGCAAGCUUUGAUAAUCUUUAUAGUUUCAAGUUGCAAAUUGAAAGUUGCUGCCCCGGUAGCAUAGUGAUCAUUGAUCAUCACACAAUGAAAGAUAAAAUCAGAUUUAAAAGAAUUUUUGUUGCUUUGAAGCCUUGCAUCGAUGGGUUUCUUAAUGGCUGCAUGCCAUACUUGGCAGUAGAUAGCACCUUCUUGACAGGCGGGUUCAAGGGGCAACUGGCUAGUGCUACCGCCGUUGAUGGCCAUAGUUGGAUGUAUCCAGUUUGUAUGGGUGUCUUUGAUUCUGAAACUAAUGAGAAUUGGACCUAG
rnacentral:rRNA from 1 species